rnacentral:rRNA from 1 species
UGCCAGCCGCCGCGGUAAUACGGGGGGAGCGAGCGUUAUUCGGAAUCACUGGGCGUAAAGCGUACGUAGGCGGCUUGACAAGUCAGAAGUGAAAUCCCAGGGCUCAACCCUGGAACUGCUUUUGAAACUGUCUCGCUAGAAUUCGGGAGAGGUUAGUGGAAUUUCCAGUGUAGAGGUGAAAUUCGUAGAUAUUGGAAGGAACACCAGUGGCGUAGGCGACUAACUGGACCGACAUUGACGCUGAGGUACGAAAGCGUGGGGAGCAAACAGGAUUAGAUA